UACGGACUGUGCGAACGUUAUUCGGAAUCACUGGGCUUAAAGGGUGCGUAGGCGGCUUGUCAGGUCAGGUGUGAAAUCCCCAGGCCCAACCGGGGAACUGCAUUGGAAACCGACAUGCUUGAGCGAGCUAGGGGUAUGCGGAACUUCCAGUGGAGCGGUGAAAUGUGUAGAUAUUGGAAGGAACACCGGUGGCGAAAGCGGCAUACUGGGGCUUGUCUGACGCUGAGGAACGAAAGCUAGGGGAGCAAACAGG
rnacentral:rRNA from 1 species